rnacentral:rRNA from 1 species
CCUACGGGAGGCAGCAGUGAGGAAUCUUUCGCAAUGGGGGAAACCCUGACGGAGCGACACCGCGUGGUGGAUGACACCCUUUUCGGGCGUAAACACCUGUUCUGAGGGACGAAAUUUUUGACGGUACCUCAGGAGAAAGCACCGGCUAAUUCCGUGCCAGCAGCCGCGGUAAGACGGAAGGUGCAAGCGUUACUCGGAAUUACUGGGCGUAAAGCGUCCGCAGCCGUCUCGUAAAGUCUGACGUAAAAGCACGAAGCUCAACUCCGUGUACGUGCCAGAAACUCACGAGAUUGAGUCACCCAGAGGCAUCUGGAAUACCGUAUGUAGGGGUAAAAUCCGUUGAUCUACGGUAGAACGCCAAAAGCGAAAGCAGGAUGCUGGGGGUGUACUGACGGUCAGGGACGAAAGCGUGGGUAGCGAACGGGAUUAGAUACCCUAGUAGUC